UGAUCAUUGAAUCAUUUCUCGCAGAUAUUUGAAUAUUGAAAUAGAGAUUUUUUUUUUGAGCGAGAACGGGAGAAGAAUUCUCUGCCAUUUUUUUGUAGGAGAGGAAUUGGUGAAUAUUGAUUUGAGAUUUUAGAGGAUUUUGGUUGUUUGUUUGCAAAGAAAAUGAGCAUAAGGGUACGAGAGGAAAGGAUGAGCAUGGGAUGGUCAUCAAUGAGCGGAGACGAGCUAAUGUUUG
rnacentral:misc_RNA from 1 species